rnacentral:rRNA from 1 species
UAGUAACGCGAGUGAAGAGGAAGAGCUCAAAUUUGAAUCUGGCGUCUCUGGCGUCCGAAUUGUAAUCUAGAGAAGUGUUUUCCGUGGCGGACCGUGCAUAAGUCUCCUGGAAUGGAGCGUCAUAGAGGGUGAGAUUCCGUAUAUGGCAUGGACUCCCGUUGCUCUGUGAUACACUCUCGACGAGUCGAGUUGUUUGGGAAUGCAGCUCCAAAUGGGUGGUAAAUGCCAUCUAAAGCUAAAUAUUGGCGAGAGACCGAUAGCGAACAAGUACCGUGAGGGAAAGAUGAAAAGCACUUUGGAAAGAGAGUGAAACAGUACGUGAAAUUGUUGAAAGGGAAACGCUUGAAGUCAGUCGCGCCGUUCAGGAUUCAGCCUUGCUUCUGCUCGGUUUACUUCCUGUUGGGUGGGUCAACAUCAGUUUCGGUCGGAGGAGAAAGGCUUGGGGAAGGUAGCAGCAUUCGUGCUGUGUUAUAGCCCCUUGUUGUAUACUUCGACUGGGACUGAGGACUGCAGCACGCCUUUGGCCGGGGUUCGCCCACGUACGUGCUUAGGAUGUUGGCAUAAUGGCUUUAAGCGACCCGUCUUGAAACACGGACCAAGGAGUCUAACAUGUGCGCGAGUGUUUGAGUGUUAAACUCAGACGCGAAAUGAAAGUGAAAAGUUGGGAACACUUAUGUGUGCACCGACGCCCGGAGCUGACCUUCUGUGACGCAUCUGCGGUAGAGCGUAUAUGUUGGGACCCGAAAGAUGGUGAACUAUGCCUGAAUAGGGUGAAGCCAGAGGAAACUCUGGUGGAGGCUCGUAGCGAUUCUGACGUGCAAAUCGAUCGUCAAAUUUGGGUAUAGGG